AUGAUGCUUUUUUCCUUUUUAAAACUUUUCCCCUUGAUAGGACACGACUAUGAGAAUCUAAUGUUGGUCAUCAAAGGGAAGGAAUCAGAGUACGGGAGCAUUCUAAAAUUUGUUCAGAGCAUAGAUCUUUCGAGUAAUAAUUUGUCGGGAUCAAUCCCUACUGAAAUCUCAAGUUUUUUUGGAUUGGAAUUUUUGAACUUAUCUUGCAAUAAUUUGAUGGGAACCAUACCGGAGAAAAUGGGACGCAUGAAGGCCUUAGAAUCUCUGGAUCUCUCGAGAAACCAUCUCUCAGGUGAAAUUCCUCAAAGCAUGAAGAAUUUAUCAUUUCUUAGUCACUUGAAUCUAUCAUACAACAAUUUUUCGGGAAGAAUUCCAUCAAGCACACAACUUCAAAGCUUAGAUGCUAUUAGCUACAUUGGCAAUGCUGAGCUUUGUGGAGCCCCUCUGACAAAAAAUUGCACAGAAGACGAAGACUUUCAAGGUAUAGACGUGAUUGAUGAAAAUGAAGAAGGCUCUGAAAUCCCAUGGUUCUACAUUGGCAUGGGACUUGGGUUCAUUGUAGGCUUUUGGGGAGUUUGUGGUGCUCUUUUAUUCAAGAAAGCUUGGAGGCAUGCUUAUUUCCAAUUUUUUUACCAUGUUAAAGACUGGGUGUAUGUGGCCAUAGCGAGAAGGUUGAACCGGCUCCAGAAUAAUUUGAGGAGACAGUGACCUACAUUGGACUACGAGAGGUGUGUGAUGCAAGACUCGAGACAAAGACAGAGUGAGGAAGGCAUGGAUUCAAAGGAAGAGAAAACCCCUUCACAAAAAAAAUAUAGAGGGACAACAAGGAAAUCCAUGAUUAUAAGGAAUAGGAAUAGAGGGAUAAAGUUGGUCAUAAAGUACAAUGCUGAUGGUAUCUAUGUAGGAGAAUCUUCUGUGCACCUAACAAGCUACUUAGGUGUAUUGGCACGCACGAUGGUACCAAUCAGAUAUAACACAUGGCGAGAUGUCCCUGAACAAUUGAAGGAUAAGUUGUGGGACUCUAUUGAGGUUACUUUUUUUUUUUUAACAUAAAUAAGUUUUCUACAAUCUCUAUAUUUCUUUCAAAUUUUGAGAAACUAAUGACUUUAUAAUUUGUAGAUUGCUUUUACAUUAGACAAGAAAAGAAGAAGGAAUUGUAUGCUUACAUUGGGAAAAUGUUUUCGAUCUUUUAAGAACACGUUGACUGUGAAACAUAUUCUUCCUUUCAAAGAUGAGCCAGAGCUUCUUAAGAAACCACUAGCUGAAUAUCAUUUUAUCGAUGAUGAAUAUUGGAAUAUUUUUGUGAAAAAUAGGUUGUCUGAAAAAUUCCAGGUACAAAUACAAUUAACAUUAAACAUACUACAUGCAUCCACAUAUAUAUACUAAGCAUCCAUUUUAAUUUGUAGGAAUAUAGGGAAGUACAAAAACAGAGAAGAAAGAAGCAUAUAUAUAAUCAUCAUCUAAGUAGAAAAGGGUAUGCUGGACUUGAAGAAGAGAUGAUGAUUGAAGCUGGCUCCAUAGAAAGCAUUGAUAGAAGUUUACUUUGGAAGAGGGCAAUGCAAAAAAAAGAUGGCAGCUAUGAUGAUGUGGUCCUACCGGUAGUGGAAAAAAUAGAUGAAUUGAUGAAAGAGUCUCAAGAUAGUGGCAUAAGCUAUAGUGGGAGCAAUGACAUACUUUCUCAAGCACUAGGUACUCCUGAGUAUACUGGUCGGGUUCGAGCUAAAGGGAAGCACUACACGCCUGGAUGAUAUUUCAAUCGUAUGUCAGAACGUGUUGUGAGGGAUAUUUUAAAAGCAACUCAAGAACGUCAAGUUAAGUUUGAGGCUGAUGUGUUAGCGAGACUAUCUCAGAUAGGAGUUGCUACACCACAAUCCGAUGUGAGUAUUUCCAACAUGAAAUCAAAACUGUUGCUUCUACCAGAAGUAGUGGAGAAACCAAUUCAUAAAGUUGAGGAGAAGACCUUACCUGUGAAAAUAGAACCACACAUGAAGACAAGAAAAUGUGAGUUGGCAGUAGGGACCAGAGAAAAUACAGUGGCUGGUGGAACAAUUGUAAUGGAUUGUGGUCCCAACUACCUAGUUGUUUUGGAUGCUCCCUAUGAGUCAAAUACACCACUUCCUAUUCCCAUUCCUGGACAAGCUACAACAGUUGGAGCGGCAGUAGGCUACCAAGUUUUAUGGCCAACCCAUUUAGUCAAUUUGAGUACUAAAUUCAUUAAGGGAUCUCACAAAGGGAAAAGACAAAAAACAACAGAAAAUGACUUGAAAAUUGGUGAAAACCCUCAAGAUAUCAACAAUUUUGAUGCAUUAGUAGGUCUCAUGCUAAAUGAGGGGAAAGCAUAAGGUGUGGAGGUCCCAAAUGAUGUAUUUAGCGAGAGUUUUAAGACCUUCCUUAUAAAAGAAGACAUGGAUAUGAUAAUUUCAUUUAAGGAAGUGUCGGCUAAUUGUGUCAUAUAUUGUAUAUGGCACCUACAGAAAAAGCUAAGUGAUGCAAGGCUCACCGAACGAUUUGCUUUUAUCAAUCCAGCUUUAGUCUCUAAAGCUGGAAUGGGUGAGACAACAAAGGAAAAUAGGUCAAGGUUGAUUGCAAAUCGUUUAAUGCAUGCAAAGCAUGCUGACUACAUUUUUAUUCCAUAUAACCCUGAUUUCCACUGGGUCUUGGUGGCAUUGGAUAUGAGGACAAUGACUGCGUACUACCUUGAUUCGAUGCAAAAGCAACCAUGUGAUGAUCUUAAGGAAAUUGUUAACAUGGCACUACGAAUUCAUCCGCCAGAGAAACAAAGAUCAUCAAAGAGGGAGCCAACAUGGGUAAAAGUAGUGAUGCCCUCAUUUCAGUCCAGUAAGAGUUGUAGAUCACAUUUUGACGAUUCUCAUAAGUUCUCAUCUCAUGAUAAGUAAGAGAUUUCAAGUUCAGGAGUGGAUAUGCAACCAACAAAAAUACUUUUGGCAUCUUCUUCUUCUUUUUGUAAUAUUAUUUUUGAUAAGGAAUUUGGAGACCUUGUUUUUUGGUACAUGUGUACUUGUUUUAUAUAUGUUGAAGUUGGAAAAUAUGCUUGUAAAUAUUUUGAUACAUUUACAAAUUUGCGUAUUAAUUAACUAUGUAGACAUUAGUUCUUUAUCA